rnacentral:misc_RNA from 1 species
AGGCCUGUUGGCCGACCUAAGAAGGUAAGUGCUGUUUGUUUGUAGCUUCUUGUGGCUUCAUAUCUUUGUCGGAUAUAGACCCUCUCUUUAUUUACUAAAUAAGAAUAGAAAUGGUCUCUACAACAGCUUCCUUCCCUCGACAGGGAAUAAAAAUUGGAUCUUUCCCUAUUUUAUAAAGAAUUAAGUGGUAAGAAGUUGUUUGGUGCCUUUGGGAUCUUGAGUGGGACAAGAAUGUGGUCUGUUUCUAGUUUAGUCUCCAUUUUAUUUAUUUAUUUUUAUUUUAGUUUCAACAGAUCGGUAGCCAUUUACUUGAAGGAAAAAAAGAGGAAAAGAUAAAUAUAAAUUUAUCCUGUAAUGAUAUUGAGACAUAGUAGUGUGAGAUGGAAUUGGAAGUUCCCUUCUAGCAUUUAUAUGUAUUAUAUAUAUUGCUAAAUUGGUAAUAAUAGAAUUGACUUAUAAUUUUCAAUCUUCUCUGUUACAUUCUGUUGCACUGUUCAUGUUGAAUUAAUACUUCUCUAUGCUUUGCCAUUUUGGGAACAAGAAUGCAUCUCACCAGCAAGCGGAAGCAUAUGGAGAUCUUAAGAGGAAAUUU